UGGGGCACUGACACAUGAUUAAUGUUAGCCUCUCUCUCCUAUUCUCUCUCUCUUCACGGACCUCCCUCUCUCUCUUCGCAGACCUCCCUCUCUCUCUCUUUGCGGACCUCCUUCUCUCUCUCUCUUUGCAGACCUCCCUUUCUCUAUGUUCGGCAGUAGCAAUGGACACGAUGCAGUAGUAGAGAUAGACGCGAUGGUAGCGAUACAGUAGCCAUUGAAGCCCCUGGGCUUGGGCAUCGCCCCUCUCUCUUUAUCAGCCAUUGAAGCCCUCUCAGCCCACACAGAGGAAUGAACACCUCUCUCUCUGUAGUUGCAACAGCAGCAACGCAUCCCUCUCUCUUUUUCUAUAUACAGCCAUUGAAGCCCCUGAGCUUGGGCAUCUCUCUCUUUUUAGCAACUAUUGAAGCCCUCUGAGCCCACACAGAAAUAGAAGCCCUCUCGUUUUUCACCACUAGCAACUAUUGAAGCCCUCUCGCUCGUUCAGAAAAACCCUGGCUGGCCUCCCGACUGUAGCCCACCCCAUCUCUAAAGAUUGAUUACAUUCUAGGCAAGAACCCACGAAAGAUGAGCUAUAUUGUGGGUUUCGGAAACCACAACCCAAAACAUGUGCACCAUAGAGCAGCUUCAAUCCCUAAGAACAAGAUCAAGUACUCUUGCAAGGGUGGGUGGAAAUGGGGAUGGACACGCCCAAGCCUAACCCAAACACACUUGUGGGGGCAAUGGUGGAAGGACCUGACAAGCACGAUGGUUUCAAAGAUAGAGGAAACUACAAUUACAUCGAGCCCACUCUCACUGGGCAAUGCUGCUUUGGUUGUUCUCUUCGGUGAGUCACAUUCCAUCGACAAGAAUAUCAUCUUCUCUGCGGUGCCACCCAUGUUCCCUAUUCCCCCGCCACCUCCGACUCCUUGGAAACCUUGAGACAGAGACAAAUAGAGAGAUAUAGAGGGAAAGAGCCACCACCAUCCUUUUUAGGAUGGCGGUGUUUACUUGUUCUUAAGCUAGAAAGAGAGGUUGGCUAGAGAAUGAGGAGAGGUUACAUGAGAUCUCUGAAGUUGGGGGUUUGCUUGUUCUUAAUCUUUAAUGUGUUCAUAGUUUGUAGGUACAAUAUUCUUGAUUGUUUCUCACUCUCUAUGUGCUUUGUGUGACAUAUAGAGUGAAACUGUGUAUUUGCUACUACUUUUUGACUCCCCAAAGAGGGAUGCUAAUGAUAAAAGAAUUAUGAAAUUUGUGCUCCUCCUUUUGUGCAUUUGGUUUCAAUAUUUGUGAACUCUUUUUAAGUCCUGGGACUCUUAUUUGAGCAAGAUUUCUAUAAAGAUCCAAAAAGGAUGCUUAAACUAGAAGAUAUUAGACUUAAUUUGAUUUGUAAGCCAUUCCAAAGCAGAGCAUUUGGAGUCUUUCAUCACCUUGAUUCUUAUGAGAAACUUGUGAUCUUGUGCAGUUUAGGCCACUUCAGAAACUACCCAAAACAUAUUUUGUGGUUGUUUUACUAUUGCCAGUAGUGACUGCUUGAGAUGCACAAGUGCGCUAUACAUUGGGUAGAAAAUCUACUUAGGAGUAUUUGUUUGAUCUAAAAUUUUAGGAUUCGAUACAGAAUCACUAGAAUGUUCUCAGCGAAGAAAACUGGAUAUUAUAAGCACUUAGAUUUCACUGUCCAACUACGGGUUGAUUUCCAUUCGAUCUUGGGACAUUAUAUUUUUAGGCACUCAACAGAAUGCUUGUGAAUCCUUUUUUUGUUUUUUUUUUGAUGAGAAUGGUAGUUUGAUCAAAAGGAGGAUCUAGGCAUACCACCUUUGAGGGAUAUGUAGGUGAUCUCAAUGAAAUGAGCAUGGAAAUUUGCUGAAAAAUGCAUCUAAAACUCCUUGCUCAUUUUAGCCAGAGAAAUUCAUGUAGCUUGGGCUUAUAGUUUAGCGGCCAAGAGCAGGAAAAAGUUUAUAUAAGGUGCCAACCUUAUAUUGUAGAAGUAAGGAGCGCUUGAAAAAUCUAUCUGAAAGGUUGUUCAGAUAUCAAAACCCUAUAGUUAAUCAUCUUGACCUUGAGGUUUUACACUUAACAAAUUGAAAGACUCACAAUUAGCGAGACGGGCUCUAGUGACAAUAUAUAGCAUCUGAUAACAAUUUGAAAUACAUUCUACUCAUCUAAAAACCUUUCAAGAAACAGGUUGACAAAUUAUUUCCAUUGUGAUAAUACAUUGCAUUUGAUAACUAUAAUGUUACAUACAAUUCAUCAACUACCAGCCAAAUGGGGUAGUCCAUUCAAUAACAAAAUUGUUCAUAUAAAGUUCAGUAGUCCUGCCCAUUAUCAAAUAAUAGUUCGUUCCUUGUACCCAAUCACCUUACAUAUCACCUAACAACCCAAAAAGAAGUGAAAAGAGUACAAUGCCAUAUAACCGAUAUCUUUUUUUUGAGUGAAUGGCUUAAAACCUACAUCAAGAAUGCCAAUAGUUUAACAACAAAUUUUUUUUUUUUU